AUGCAAUCACGCGGACGGACGGACGGCUCAAGCCGCGGCCGCGUCCUCGCACUCGUCGACCUCGGCGGGGCUGCGAGACUCAACCAACUGAUUCACAUGGAACGACUUGGAGUAGGAGAUGUCCCCGGAGACGGUGACGUCGACGGAAUAGCAGAGCCAGUCCUGACGUUCCCGGAAACUGUCGUCGACGCUGAGGACGAUGCGGCACGGCCGGAUGCAUUUCGGGUCCGUGAAGCUGAAUUCGUCGGUGCUGCCACGGUUGAACCUGGCACCAUCGGCGUCUUCCUCGUGUGUCACGAUGGGGCCGCCGCCGCGCUGGCUGUCGGCGAACAACCAGAAGUUCACGAAAGCCUCCGUGCCGUCCCCAGGCCAGUCCCCCGUCUUCACCUUCAGCCGGUACUCACAAUCCCCCUUGGUGGUGCCGCUGCCAGCGAGGAAGGCGGCCACCAGAAUGACAAGGGCGAGCUUGGGCAUGGCAAUGGCGAUGGCCAUGGUUGUGGUGGCUACCUGCUGCGUAUACUAGGUAGCUAUACGAUAGAUAUAUGA
rnacentral:rRNA from 1 species